rnacentral:rRNA from 1 species
UACGUAGGGUGCAAGCGUUAAUCGGAAUUACUGGGCGUAAAGCGUGCGCAGGCGGUUGGGUAAGACAGAUGUGAAAUUCCCGGGCUCAACUUGGCGAACUGCAUUUGUGACUAUUCGACUAGAGUACGGUAGAGGGGAGUGGAAUUCCGCGUGUAGCAGUGAAAUGCGUAGAUAUGCGGAGGAACACCGAUGGCGAAGGCAGCUCCCUGGGCCUGUACUGACGCUCAUGCACGAAAGCGUGGGGAGCAAACAGG